UACGAAGGGGGCUAGCGUUGCUCGGAAUGACUGGGCGUAAAGGGCGCGUAGGCGGAUGGCACAGUCAGAUGUGAAAUUCCCGGGCUUAACCUGGGGGCUGCAUUUGAUACGUGUGAUCUAGAGUGAGGAAGAGGGUCGUGGAAUUCCCAGUGUAGAGGUGAAAUUCGUAGAUAUUGGGAAGAACACCCGUGGCGAAGGCGGCUCUCUGGGACGGUACUGACGCUGAGACGCGAAAGCGUGGGAGCGAACAGG
rnacentral:rRNA from 1 species